rnacentral:rRNA from 1 species
CGUUGUUCGCAUGAACAACGCUUAAAAGAUGGCUUCUCGCUAUCACUUCUGGAUGGACCUGCGGUGCAUUAGCUUGUUGGUGGGGUAAUGGCCUACCAAGGCGAUGAUGCAUAGCCGAGUUGAGAGACUGAUCGGCCACAAUGGGACUGAGACACGGCCCAUACUCCUACGGGAGGCAGCAGUAGGGAAUCUUCCACAAUGGGCGCAAGCCUGAUGGAGCAACACCGCGUGAGUGAAGAAGGGUUUCGGCUCGUAAAGCUCUGUUGUUAAAGAAGAACACGUAUGAGAGUAACUGUUCAUACGUUGACGGUAUUUAACCAGAAAGUCACGGCUAACUACGUGCCAGCAGCCGCGGUAAUACGUAGGUGGCAAGCGUUAUCCGGAUUUAUUGGGCGUAAAGAGAGUGCAGGCGGUUUUCUAAGUCUGAUGUGAAAGCCUUCGGCUUAACCGGAGAAGUGCAUCGGAAACUGGAUAACUUGAGUGCAGAAGAGGGUAGUGGAACUCCAUGUGUAGCGGUGGAAUGCGUAGAUAUAUGGAAGAACACCAGUGGCGAAGGCGGCUACCUGGUCUGCAACUGACGCUGAGACUCGAAAGCAUGGGUAGCGAACAGGAUUAGAUACCCUGGUAGUCCAUGCCGUAAACGAUGAGUGCUAGGUGUUGGAGGGUUUCCGCCCUUCAGUGCCGGAGCUAACGCAUUAAGCACUCCGCCUGGGGAGUACGACCGCAAGGUUGAAACUCAAAGGAAUUGACGGGGGCCCGCACAAGCGGUGGAGCAUGUGGUUUAAUUCGAAGCUACGCGAAGAACCUUACCAGGUCUUGACAUCUUGCGCCAACCCUAGAGAUAGGGCGUUUCCUUCGGGAACGCAAUGACAGGUGGUGCAUGGUCGUCGUCAGCUCGUGUCGUGAGAUGUUGGGUUAAGUCCCGCAACGAGCGCAACCCUUGUUACUAGUUGCCAGCAUUAAGUUGGGCACUCUAGUGAGACUGCCGGUGACAAACCGGAGGAAGGUGGGGACGACGUCAGAUCAUCAUGCCCCUUAUGACCUGGGCUACACACGUGCUACAAUGGACGGUACAACGAGUCGCGAACUCGCGAGGGCAAGCAAAUCUCUUAAAACCGUUCUCAGUUCGGACUGCAGGCUGCAACUCGCCUGCACGAAGUCGGAAUCGCUAGUAAUCGCGGAUCAGCAUGCCGCGGUGAAUACGUUCCCGGGCCUUGUACACACCGCCCGUCACACCAUGAGAGUUUGUAACACCCAAAGUCGGUGGGGUAACCUUUUAGGAGCCAGCCGCCUAAGGUGGGACAGAUGAUUAGGGUG